GGAGGUUAGAAAUCCGGUUACCUAGGUCUAGCUGUAUGACGGCGGCAAAGCUUGGCAAAGGUAAGAUCCGGCAGGCUAUGGUGGCCAUUGAUGUUAAGAAUCGGAUGCGCUCGGCCUCUUCUAAUAGUUCGCUGUGGAGAGGCUGACGUCACGGGCGACCUUCCGAAACAGAUCUUUCGAUGGAGAUGCAGUCGAACGGUUACGAGAAAUAAUUAUAUAUCGGCUAUACGGUUUAGGGCCGGGUUAAUGGUAGACGACGCACUGAAUAGGGCGCGCUCUUAACCGACGCCUCUUUUUUUCUUUCUUUCGGUGGAAGAGAAUAGCAACGCAACGACCUAGCUUUAUAAAAGCUAGAUAAGAAUAGAAAAUACCAGAAAUAAGAUUGUCUGCACGCUUUUCUUUUACGGGAUUAAUGUAGCGGCAAAAAAUUAUACCUUAUUGUUGGUUUAAGCGAAAAAUAUUCGCUGCUAAAAUAAACAGAGGCGGGUCAAUAACGAAAGAUUCUCUGUUGAUUUCGCGCAACUAUUUAAACAUUCUCCAUGGUUGAGAACAGUAUUGACACAAUGCUAGACUUUAAUGCAAAGAGCUUGUUUGCAUUUCUGCAAUUUAUUCGAUUCUUAUCGCCCAACCUAUCUGCCAUAAGUUCGGCUGUAAUCUGUUUUCUCUCUCUCUCUCUCGGUAGCGCUGUUCGACGGUUUAGCGUAUUAUCCAACGCUUUAAUCGCCUAAAUCAUAAAAUUAAUAGAGCGGAUAAGCUAAAAGACGUACGAUUCCGGCAUGCUUGUGGAAAAUUUUCUUGGACAAAAUUACUAGAAACGAUUACAUUUCUGUAAAAAUGAUAGGAAAAAUAUUUUCCAGCUUUUUUUUAACCCUUCCGAUUUUGGUAUUCGAAGUGUUUUUUUAAUAGAAUUUUUUCUUCGAUAUUCUAUGUUUGGUAAGCUUCUUGGAAACUGGAGUCGAGAGAAUAACGUCUAUUAUUUUUGAAAUCUAUUUUUGUUUCCUUAACUACGCGCUCUCCAUUACCGCUUUCCUCCUUCUUAAAAGCUAGAAAAGUAGAAUUUGAUUGAGGAAAAAGCCGGCACAGGGGGUGAAUCGUUGGCCGGCGCCUUCUAUUUUUACCUUUAUAAUUUUAAAAUAUGAAGGGAUUUUAGGCAAAUUUCUGCCAAAGUCGAUUAACCGUGUGUGAAACCGGUUUCGGGUUUGGUUCAUUAUAACAAUUUUUACCGCCCGCCUUUUUGGCACGGUGCCCCUGUACACGCUCCUAACCGUGGUAACUCGAACCGUGUCGAGUGUGUUAAGAUUAUUAAAGAAGAAGAAAAUAUUCUGUUCGGGAGAAAUUUAAAAAGAAAAAGUAAUUGCCAUCGAUAUAACAUUUCCUAAUCUCGGUCGAAGUAUUAGUUAUUCCAGUUGGUAAUUAGUAGAGGCUAUAGUGCGUCAUUCGCGCCUUUACAUCCCAUCUACGCUUUACAUUAAAACAUAAUUAAAUUUUAAAUCCGAGAAGGGAAUAUGUCGGCUGGGCGGUCGUCAUAGAAACGGUAGAUGCAGAGAGAAAGACGGCCUGGAUGUUUUUGUUUCGAGCCUUUUCGGAAAGAGCGGUCGACACGGAGGACGCAAUUGCAUCCAAUGGCUGGCAGCCAUUGGCAAGUAUACUAUGGCAACAAUUAUUAUCUGGAUGGCAGGCGGGAUGGUCACUGGGACACGUUAAUCCGUCUAUGGUUCCGUAUAAUAGAUGCCACGCUUCAAUUUCUAAAAGCAACAAAUUACCUCCGUCAGCCUACUACAUUCCGUUAAGCUUCAUCUUUUACUCUUUAAAAAUAAACAUCUCUCAUUUUUAUUCGUAUUUUAACUGUUGUAGUGUGUAUCGGUGCCCACUACCUACUUCCCAGCCAGUUGAAAAGAAAAGUGUUCCGGAAUUAAGGCAUUAAAUAUUUUCGCAAAUUCUUCAUUCUUCUAAAUUAUUAAAUAAAAUUGGAUAGAUUUACAUCAGAAAACAAACAAGUUUGUGUGUAUAUAUAUAUAUAUUUAAGGAAUUUUUAAAAUAAUUUUACCUGGUGGUCUUAUUUAAUUUUGGCAGGUAGUAUUUUAUUGGCUCGGACCGGGCCGGUAAAAGAAGAGAGCGCAAAUUCUUCCACGCGUAUCUGGCUAGAAUCGAUAAAAGACGUAAAUAGCUUUCAAACCCUAGAUGUGUCAUCCGUGGGCCUAGUCGGCCAAUCUGUAUCAUUUAUAUGGUAUUAAAAUAUAAAUUAAUCCAAAUCGUUGCUAUAAACCCAGAUACUCUUUCUCUGUCGCUUUAUAUAGAAUAGCUAAAUCCGUGCUAUUUUUUUUCUAUUUGAUUAUGUUUAAAUCAGUUUUUAAUGUCGGAAACAUUUUUAUAAUAAUAAAUUGUCCAGAUUUUAAUAAAAAAUCUUAUUAAAAUGUCUUAUUUGCCAAAAUUGUAUGGCAAACGGGAUAAAAUAAUUGGAAAAAACAUGUAAAACUGAGGCGAAAUCACCUUCACCUUUUGACGUAACGUGUAAAACAAUAGGCUAUACUGCGGUGAGUAUUUACACUGCCAGGAAAUUUCGCAACGAUUUUCUAUUAUUUAGCGGAAAUAAUGUGUGUUUUGUAAAUACAAAUCUGGUGUUUCUUUUCUAACCGUGUCUAGAUAUAGGCAAAAAAAAAAGAAAAGACGGUCGAGAAAUUACGGGCGAAACGAUACUUACCCGGUAAACGGUAAGGAAAGAUAAAGAAUGCGAUGGUAGAAAUGAAAUAUUUACGUCAUUUGUUUAAAAAUAAGAAAAUCGAGAAGUGUACUUUACUGGGAGUAGAAGGUAAUGUGGAUGAAUAUAGUCUCUGGCCAUGGAAAAUCGAUGGGAGAUGCAUUCCGAGAAGGAAUAACUUAUAAUAUUUAUCAUUUCAUUGGCCGUUCUAACCGACUUCUCUCUCGAAGAAAAAUAAAAUUAAUCCGAUUAAAAAUAAAACUUUCAAAUUUAAUGAAUAAUUUAAAAUGAUUCGCCUUUGGCUCGGCAUAAUUAAGCGCCAUUUUAAUUAGAAUAACCCAUCCGCGGCACGUUUUGGUAAACAAUUUUUUUCUUAAAAACGGAAAUGUAUAUUUUUUUUUUUUUUUUUUUUGUGCCCCCAUCACUGCGGGAGUUUUCUUUAAUCAAACAACAGGAUGAGGAUGGAAGAAUUACUUACUGGUGGUGGUAUAUUUUUUUAUAAAAUGUGUUGGCCAGCCACACCAGAAGAAAGAAACUGGAGUCUAAUGGUGGCUUUAAAGUCUGUUUUAUUUAUAUUUUAUAAUCGUUUUGAUAAAUCAUAACGCUCGAUUUGUUUUAGAAGCAAUUCUGGUGUCCAAUUUUGUGCCGGAAUAUAAAUAUUUAUAUUUUCUCUAAAUAUAUUUCUAGAGAUUUAAUGAGUGGCCAACAAAUAUCCGUGGUUAAGAAAAGAUUUUAAGUAAUUAUUCGUAUAAUUAAUCGUUUUUGGUGUUUUAGAUGGGUG
rnacentral:lncRNA from 1 species